GAUGAACGCUAGCGGCAGGCUUAACACAUGCAAGUCGAGGGGUAGAGGAAGCUUGCUUCCUUGAGACCGGCGCACGGGUGCGUAACGCGUAUACAAUCUACCUUUUACAGAGGGAUAGCCCCAGAGAAAUUUGGAUUAAUACCUCAUAGUAUUUUCGGAUCGCAUGAUUUGAUUAUUAAAGUUCCAACGGUAAAGAUGAGUAUGCGUCCAUUAGCUAGAUGGUAAGGUAACGGCUUACCAUGGCAAUGAUGGGUAGGGGUCCUGAGAGGGAGAUCCCCCACACUGGUACUGAGACACGGACCAGACUCCUACGGGAGGCAGCAGUGAGGAAUAUUGGACCAAAUGGGCGGCAAAGCCUGAUCCAGCCCAAUGCC
rnacentral:rRNA from 1 species